UACGGAGGGGACUAGCGUUGUUCGGAAUUACUGGGCGUAAAGCGCACGUAGGCGGAUGUGUCAGUCAGGGGUGAAAUCCCGGGGCUCAACCUCGGAACUGCCUUUGAUACAGCACGUCUCGAGUCCGGAAGAGGUGGGUGGAAUUCCUAGUGUAGAGGUGAAAUUCGUAGAUAUUAGGAAGAACACCGGUGGCGAAGGCGGCCCGCUGGUCCGGUACUGACGCUGAGGUGCGAAAGCGUGGGGAGCAAACAGG
rnacentral:rRNA from 1 species